rnacentral:rRNA from 1 species
AUACGUAGGUGGCAAGCGUUGUCCGGAUUUAUUGGGCGUAAAGCGAGCGCAGGCGGUUUUUUAAGUCUUGAUGUGAAAGCCCUCGGCUUAACCGAAGAAGGGCAUCGGAAACUGGGAGACUUGAGUGCAGAAGAGGACAGUGGAACUCCAUGUGUAGCGGUGAAAUGCGUAGAUAUAUGGAAGAACACCAGUGGCGAAGGCGGCUGUCUGGUCUGUAACUGACGCUGAGGCUCGAAAGUAUGGGUAGC